rnacentral:tRNA from 1 species
GGGGUUAUGGCUCAAAUCGGUAGAGCAUCUGCUUAGCUUGUAGAAGAUUGUUGGUUCGAAUCCUUCUAACUCCA